CGCCUCUUGCGUCCUUUCGGCCCCAAGCGCCAGUUCGGGCAGAGCCUUUGAAGAGGGAGGAGCACUGCUUGAGAGCUCCCCUCUCCCUCCUAAAUUUAGGACUUUCUUUGUUCAACUGUAAUGGGACAGGGUUGGCAUCCCUGGAAAAAGAUAAGGAUGACCCCACAUUGGCGCCUGUGAAGCCCGCUGGUCCUGAUCAACACCCACUAGUGGUGCCGAUGGCCGUUGGGCCUCCUGUUCCAUCAUUUGCACCGCCUGAGCCAUUGGAGCCUUCACCAGUUGAGCAGCCCACACCAACACCAUCAGGGUGCAGGUGGAGCAGCAGCUUCUGUGCGUGUUGUCAUCUGCAGCCACUCUUGGGUCUUCUGGGCUUUCAAGCGAGCCAGCACCUCACAAAUGAUGCCUGCUAUCAUCUCAGAAGGAGCAUCCCCUCCCAUGUGUGAGAGAAGGGGGAAUCAAAUCUCUCUCUUAACAUUGUGCUUAUAAACCACAGUGUUUGUAUUAAAAAUAAUGGCCCACUUGCUAUGCAUUGGGAAAUUGACUAGAGGUUGACUACAGCCUUAGUAGCUGUAGUAUCAAUACAUGGCCCAGUUUCAGUGAUACAAAGAUAUGUAUCCAUUUGGAUAAAGAUAUUUAUCUAUAGCUGGUACAGAGAGUCAUUUUCUCUUUCAGAUAUGACAUAGAACAUGGACUGAAACAGGCAGGAUGUCCAAACAAAACAGAUGGCAAAGCUAUUUUAUUUAUAUAGUACCAACCAAU